rnacentral:lncRNA from 1 species
AUGGCCGUGGGGCAGAGGGAAGGGGCAGCACAGCCCGAUCCCCGCGGCUGGGACCCGGCAGCAUCGCCUGCGGCCCCCCUGUGCCAGAUCCUGGCACGUGGGCCCGGCCGUGGCUGUGCCAGGAGAUGGCAGCACGGCCACUGCGCCCGCUCUGCUUCUCCCUGCCUGCCCCACGUGUGGACGUGGCACCCGCAGCCCCUCGUGCUCCGUGGUCAGGACCCACUCCCGGUGCAGUGCCCAGUGCCAGCCGCACGCCGCUGUCCCCCCAGUGCUGGGGACGGGGCUGGGGUGCGAUGCUCCAUGGCCCCGCUCGCCAUCCGGGCACCCCCCGAGCCCCCUCCUGCCCCUUGUCCCCGCUGCCUGUGCCCGACCUUGGUGUCUCCCGGCCCCAGGGCCCAUCAGCGCUUGCCCUGGCUCAGGUUAUUGACAGGGCUGGGGGCCGCCGGGCUGGCACCCCCCCACCAACGGCCCUUCAUUAGCUCGGCUGUCGGGUCGCAUCACAUCACCCCCACCGUACGCAGCUCCCCGCGUCCCGGCCCCGCGCUGCCUCCACGUGUCCCUGCUGUCCCCGGUGCCACCCUCCCGGCUGUCAGAGGCCGCCUGGGCAGGGGCUGUGUCCCCGUCCCCCCGUGGUACUGGGGCCACCCCAAAUCCUUCCCCACAUCCUGCCCAGCGGGUCUGGGCCCCGCAGAGCCCCCAGCUCUGUUCCCUAGGCCAGGAGCUGCGCGUCCCCUGGUGCCACGCCAUGAGGCCCCGCGUGCCCUCCCAGCUCUAUGGGGCCAUCCAUCUAUGGGGCAGCCACCCCACAGCAGGUCCGGGGUCCUGUUUUGUCACCAAGCCGUACCCAUAGCACCAGGGCCACAUCCCCAUGAGGGACAGUGCAGGAGGACACAGACACUCGCCUCCUCCAGCCACCCGUGGAGGGGAUGCUCCUGCACUCCCUGCACCCUCAGCAGCUCCCCCAAACCCAAGGCGCAGGGACAGGAUGGAGCAGGAGGGGACGCGGGGCACAGCCCCCCAGCGCCAGCCUGGGCUCGUCCUUGGGCAGGGUCACACGCAGCCCCUCAGCAGCGGGGAGCCCGCCGGGACGGGGACGGCUCCCCGGUAUCGACGUCCCCGCUAAUGACGGCGGCGUGUGACCGGGGGCAGGAGCAGGCGGCGCGGGGCCAUCGACCCGUAUCGACCGGCCAC